rnacentral:rRNA from 1 species
UGCAAGUCGAGCGGUAGAGAGAAGCUUGCUUCUCUUGAGAGCGGCGGACGGGUGAGUAAUGCCUAGGAAUCUGCCUGGUAGUGGGGGAUAACGUUCGGAAACGAACGCUAAUACCGCAUACGUCCUACGGGAGAAAGCAGGGGACCUUCGGGCCUUGCGCUAUCAGAUGAGCCUAGGUCGGAUUAGCUAGUUGGUGAGGUAAUGGCUCACCAAGGCGACGAUCCGUAACUGGUCUGAGAGGAUGAUCAGUCACACUGGAACUGAGACACGGUCCAGACUCCUACGGGAGGCAGCAGUGGGGAAUAUUGGACAAUGGGCGAAAGCCUGAUCCAGCCAUGCCGCGUGUGUGAAGAAGGUCUUCGGAUUGUAAAGCACUUUAAGUUGGGAGGAAGGGCAGUUACCUAAUACGUAAUUGUUUUGACGUUACCGACAGAAUAAGCACCGGCUAACUCUGUGCCAGCAGCCGCGGUAAUACAGAGGGUGCAAGCGUUAAUCGGAAUUACUGGGCGUAAAGCGCGCGUAGGUGGUUUGUUAAGUUGAAUGUGAAAUCCCCGGGCUCAACCUGGGAACUGCAUCCAAAACUGGCAAGCUAGAGUAUGGUAUACUGGUGGUGGAAUUUC